rnacentral:rRNA from 1 species
GACGAACGCUGGCGGCGUGCCUAAUACAUGCCAGUAGAACGCUGAAGGAGGAGCUUGCUUCUCUGGAUGAGUUGCGAACGGGUGAGUAACGCGUAGGUAACCUGCCUGGUAGCGGGGGAUAACUAUUGGAAACGAUAGCUAAUACCGCAUAAGAGUAGAUGUUGCAUGACAUUUGCUUAAAAGGUGCAAUUGCAUCACUACCAGAUGGACCUGCGUUGUAUUAGCUAGUUGGUGGGGUAACGGCUCACCAAGGCGACGAUACAUAGCCGACCUGAGAGGGGGAUCGGCCACACGGGGAAUGAGACACGGCCCAAACUCCUACGGGAGGCAGCAGUAGGGAAUCUUCGGCAAUGGGCGGAAGUCUGACCGAGCAAGGCCGCGUAAGUGAAGAAGGUUUUCGGAUCGUAAAGCUCUGUUGUAAGAGAAGAACGAGUGUGAGAGUGGAAAGUUCACACUGUGACGGUAUCUUACCAGAAAGGGACGGCUAACUACGUG